UGCUUGUAAUGUAGCUGAGGAUGGCCU
rnacentral:piRNA from 1 species